AAAUUGAAGAGUUUGAUCAUGGCUCAGAUUGAACGCUGGCGGCAGGCCUAACACAUGCAAGUCGAACGGUAACAGGAAGCAGCUUGCUGCUUCGCUGACGAGUGGCGGACGGGUGAGUAAUGUCUGGGAAACUGCCUGAUGGAGGGGGAUAACUACUGGAAACGGUGGCUAAUACCGCAUAACGUGGCAAGACAAGAGAAGGAGACCUUCGGGCCUCUUGCCAUCAGAUGUGCCCAGAUGGGAUUAGCUUGUUGGUGAGGUAACGGCUCACCAAGGCGACGAUCCCUAGCUGGUCUGAGAGGAUGACCAGCCACACUGGAACUGAGACACGGUCCAGACUCCUACGGGAGGCAGCAGUGGGGAAUAUUGCACAAUGGGCGCAAGCCUGAUGCAGCCAUGCCGCGUGUAUGAAGAAGGCCUUCGGGUUGUAAAGUACUUUCAGCGGGGAGGAAGGUGUUGUGGUUAAUAACCGCAGCAAUUGACGUUACCCGCAGAAGAAGCACCGGCUAACUCCGUGCCAGCAGCCGCGGUAAUACGGAGGGUGCAAGCGUUAAUCGGAAUUACUGGGCGUAAAGCGCACGCAGGCGGUCUGUCAAGUCGGAUGUGAAAUCCCCGGGCUCAACCUGGGAACUGCAUUCGAAACUGGCAGGCUUGAGUCUUGUAGAGGGGGGUAGAAUUCCAGGUGUAGCGGUGAAAUGCGUAGAGAUCUGGAGGAAUACCGGUGGCGAAGGCGGCCCCCUGGACAAAGACUGACGCUCAGGUGCGAAAGCGUGGGGAGCAAACAGGAUUAGAUACCCUGGUAGUCCACGCCGUAAACGAUGUCUACUUGGAGGUUGUGCCCUUGAGGCGUGGCUUCCGGAGCUAACGCGUUAAGUAGACCGCCUGGGGAGUACGGCCGCAAGGUUAAAACUCAAAUGAAUUGACGGGGGCCCGCACAAGCGGUGGAGCAUGUGGUUUAAUUCGAUGCAACGCGAAGAACCUUACCUGGUCUUGACAUCCACAGAACUUUCCAGAGAUGGAUUGGUGCCUUCGGGAACUGUGAGACAGGUGCUGCAUGGCUGUCGUCAGCUCGUGUUGUGAAAUGUUGGGUUAAGUCCCGCAACGAGCGCAACCCUUAUCCUUUGUUGCCAGCGGUUAGGCCGGGAACUCAAAGGAGACUGCCAGUGAUAAACUGGAGGAAGGUGGGGAUGACGUCAAGUCAUCAUGGCCCCCCUGACCGUGGCUACACACGUGCUACAAUGGCGCAUACAAAGAGAAGCGACCUCGCGAGAGCAAGCGGACCUCAUAAAGUGCGUCGUAGUCCGGAUUGGAGUCUGCAACUCGACUCCAUGAAGUCGGAAUCGCUAGUAAUCGUGGAUCAGAAUGCCACGGUGAAUACGUUCCCGGGCCUUGUACACACCGCCCGUCACACCAUGGGAGUGGGUUGCAAAAGAAGUAGGUAGCUUAACCUUCGGGAGGGCGCUUACCACUUUGUGAUUCAUGACUGGGGUGAAGUCGUAACAAGGUAACCGUAGGGGAACCUGCGGUUGGAUCACCUCCUUACCUUAAAGAAGC
rnacentral:rRNA from 1 species